GCCUGUAGUCCCAGCUACUCAGGAGGCUGAGGUGGGAGGAAUGCUUGAGCCCAGGAGUUUAGGGCUGUAGUGCACUAUGCCAAUCAAAUCUCCGCACUAAGUUCAGCAUCAAUAUGGUGACCUCCCAGGAGCAGGGAACCACCAGGUUGCCUAAGAAGGGGUGAACUGGCACAGGUCAGAAACAGAGCAGGUCAAAACUCCUGUGCUCAUCAGUAGUGGGACCACACCCAUGAAUAGCCACUGCACUCCAGCCUGGGCAACAUAGCGAGACCCUGUCUCU
rnacentral:SRP_RNA from 1 species